CACAGCUCACGAGGCUCAGCUGUCCUCCAUCCUUCCCCCUGUCCUUUGGUGCCUCUGUUUGCAAGAUGUGCAGAAACACCAGAGGGCCAGAGGAGACCCUUUUACUGAAUGCUGGCAGCCUCCUGAGAACCAUGUCUGCCAGCAGUGGAGAGCAGAGAGUGUGGACGAGCAUGGGCGACUGAGGUCCCAAAUGGCGCGAGCCGCUGGGCCCUCCUGCUUGUGCCGAUGUCUCAGGCUCGAUUGAAGCUGGAAGAAACCAAGGACAAUGUGUCCUUUAAAAGUGUAAGGUCAGAAGGUGCCCUGACUCCAGCCGACCUGGAAAAGGACGUGUCCUGCCUAUCUGGAGGUGGCCCACACGGUCCGGGAAAGAUCGGCUGCCUUGCCUGCAUCCCAGGGCGCUUCCCGGCCUCCAUUAAGAGGUGACCAUUGCAUCCACGUGAUUUCUUUUGCUCCGAUAUUUCCAGGCACAGUACGACUGACUCCCUCUUGAAGCUAGAAUGCCCUGCACACCCGGGAUGGACUUCUCUCCCCUUUCAAAGAUCGAGUGACGUUUGCAAAUGUGAAAGGAAGGAAUUGCGUUUCCAGUGGAAACCUCUGAAGGGGAAUGAAACUGUCACAGGACGUCAGGAGCCACGUGGGGGAGCGUGGUGUCCUCUGGGUCUCAACGCCCCUUGCUUCCCGCUUGGUGACGGUCGAUGGCUGUGUCCGGCGGUGAACGCUUUACCACAGAACUCUACGGUGGGGUAGGCAGCGCCACUUCAGUGUGAAGACAAAUGAACUGGCGUCUCUUGAGAUAGGCCCCUGCCUCCAGGACCUCUCAGGCCCCGGGCCCUGGUUGCUGCGGUGGAAGCUGCCUGUUCAGACGUCAUCUCCAUCACCCCUUGAAGGGAGCCGGAGAGGUGUUUGCGAGUUGGAUGUUUUAUCUUGACUUGUCUUUCCUGAUUCUUUGUUAGAACACCCCCAGGGCUUGGUUUUUGUUCUCAACCUGUGAUUAGAAAUAAGAUCCUAAAGCGUCAGACCUGGAAGGCCCAUGAGAGCUGAGGAGAUCAAAUGCCUGGAGCUCGGGAGAUCAGAUGACCUGGGGUGCCUGGAGCCAGUGGUGGCCUCGUCUGCAGCUCCUUCCUCUGUCCCGCCCACCACAGAGUCCCUGCUGGCCCCGGGGGGCCCCUCCUCCGCCACAGGGCCCCUGAGCAUUGCUGGGUUUGUUUCUCCAGCUCCUCCUGCUUCCUGCAGAAGCAGUUCCCAGAGGGGCAAUUUCUCCAGCCUGCCUGGUUGGUUGUGUUGAUUGGUUAUAGUUGCUCUUUCAGGUGACCGCAGACCCUCUGAAGGCUGUGGCCGUGGGUGUGGCUCUAUGGCCACCUCUCUCUCUUCUCCUCUCCCAGGUCGCGUCUCCUUCUUCACCUCGGGGUCCGAGAACCUACACCGCGUGGAAAAGGUCCACUGGGGCACCCGUUACGCCAUCACCAUCGCCUUCAGCUGCAACCCCGACCAUGGCAUCGAGGACCCAGCGUUCCCGUAGCCGGCAGCUGGGCCAAGGUAACUUCAGGAGGGCCCGUGUGGAGGCAGCCGCACCAGUCGUGCGCCCGCCCCCACGUCCACCCGCUCCCGUUGCACAGAGUGCCUUAGGAAUUCUCUGAUUUUGAUUUGCUGACAUGUUAAUCUUUUCAUCCGUGAGUAAAUGAAGGGAACCAGCUUUUCACUUCUCCAGCAUCAUGUGUGCUUGGGCUGUAGGCCUGGGAGCCUGAGGUGGAGGCCAGCUCCUCCCUCAGGAAAGGGACCCAGCAGGACGGGGCACAAGUCCCCAUCUGUGAACGGACGGGACUCAUCCACCCAGGCCUCGUCGAGGUUCAGCAACCCCCCGGCCCAUCAAAGACUGGCUAAAGCAUCAGCCAUAAAUGGGGACAAACGUGGGGCCAGCAGCUUCUGUUCGGGGUCUCGGCAUCAGCAAACCGCAGCAGCUUUGGAGAAGGGUCCGUGAGUGGCGGCUCUGGAGGCAGCAACGGGGUCCUUUGGGGUGGGUGGGAGUUCUGCUGGAUUCAGGUGGAGGUGAACAUCUGCCGUUCCCACAGCCCUGCGUGCACCCCCAAUGCUGCUGGCCCACAAAUCACCGUGGGCCACGGCCCCACCACACCAGGCUUGGCCCUGUCAGCAGCCAGCAUCCCGAGGGCCAGGGUCCGAGUGUCCUCACCAAGGAGGCUCUUGGCGUCGCUGUGCCGGCUCCCAUGGGCCUUCUGCUGGGUUGAGGGUAGGUCGUCUCCUCCCCCUUUGCCCUGGCAUUAAACUGAUGGUCAGGCAUUAAACUGAUGGUCAGGCUGGGCGCGGUGGCUCACACCUGUAAUCUCAGCACUGCGGGAGGCCGAGGCAGGAGAAUCACUUGAGGUCAGGAGUUCAAGACCAGCCUGGCCAACAUGGCAAAACCCCGUCUCUACUAAAAAUACAAAAACAAAUUAGCCAGGCGUGGUGGCGCAAGCCUAUAAUCCCAGCUACUGGGGAGGCUGAGGCAGGAGAAUCGCUUGAACCCAGGGGGAAGAGGUUGCAGUGAGCCGAGAUCGUGCCACUACACUCCAGCCUGGGUGACAGAGUGAGACUCCAUCUUAAAAAUAUAAAAAUAAAGUGGUGGUCAGAGAAGCCCCAAAUAGACGAGCUGUGGAGAGGCCUGGGUGGGGUGGCUGGCAGGGAGGGCAGGCCAAGCCCAGUUUCUGCCCACAGUCACCUCGAGGUGACUGUCCAAGGCUUUGGGCACCUUCCCGGGAGGGGGACGGCUGCCCACCGAGUGGUGUUGAAGCCGGGCUCGCCUGGAUGCCCUGACCCAGCUGCCUGGGGAGAGCCCUGGGCCCCUCCUCCCUCAGCCCCUCCUGCCUCGGUCCCUCCUCUCUCAGCCUGUCUGGCAUAGAUCCAUGUUCCCCAGCCCCUGGCACAGGUGCCUCUGGCUGGAGGAGGCCCCACCUGUGGCCCAGGAGCUGCUCUGGGGGUUGAUAAAGAAAGGGCAGCGUUAUUGGGCCCUGGGAAUGAGCGGGCGUGAGGCCAGCUGAGGCAUGGUGACCCCUGGGAAGGAGCGGGCGUGAGGCCAGCUGAGGCACGGUGACCCCUGGGAAGGAGCGGGCGUGAGGCCAGCUGAGGCAUGGUGACCCCUGGGAAGGAGCGGGCGUGAGGCCAGCUGAGGCAUGGUGACCCCUGGGAAGGAGCGGGCGUGAGGCCACCUGAGGCAUGGUGACCCCUGGGUACGGGGGACUUGGGGGCCGCACCUCGGUUUGCCCAGGGCCCCUCCUGCACCACGGGCCACAUGCGGAGGACGGCGUGGGAUAGGCUCCCUGGGUCCACAGCUUCUGCCCGUGUAUGGGGAACCCUCCUUGGUCAGGGCUGCGGGCUCUGGGCAGAUGGGGCAGGAACCCUGAGGCUCCCGCGCCCUCCCAUGGCCUCUGACAUGGGACACUGGAGCGAGGCAUGAUUCUGAAGGACUCCAUGGAUCUGGGAGGAUGAGGCCCAUCUCCGGUUGGUGGCCAAAGCCGUCCUUGCGGGGCCGGCUGCUUCACGGACGCUCUCCGGGUCGGGCCGGUGGGCCCCAUCGUGGGUGGGAAGUCGCCUGAGCCUGGGCCUCCCUUGAGCUUCUCCCAGUCUUGACUUUCCGGAGGGUCCGUGGCUGUGGUCAUGGUCGGGGCAGGUGGAAAAUGCUGCAUGGAAACCUGAUCCUGUCACCUUGGAGUAAAUGAUGAUGUCGCCGGCUUCUCGCCACGUCUAAAGGAUAAAUGCAUUUGAAGAAAGUGGGUGUUGGGUUUGUUAUGGGUUAAAGUGCUUUUGAAAUAAGUAAAUUAUUAGUUUGAUUUUCA
rnacentral:sRNA from 1 species